rnacentral:tRNA from 1 species
ACCGCCUUGGCUCAAUUGGAUAGAGCACUGGAUUACGAAUCCGGGGGUUGGGAGUUCGAAUCUCUCAGGUGGUACCA